UAGGGAAUCUUCCGCAAUGGGCGAAAGCCUGACGGAGCAACGCCGCGUGAGUGAUGAAGGUCUUCGGAUCGUAAAACUCUGUUAUUAGGGAAGAAUAAAUGUGUAAGUAACUAUGCACGUCUUGACGGUACCUAAUCAGAAAGCCACGGCUAACUACGUGCCAGCAGCCGCGGUAAUACGUAGGUGGCAAGCGUUGUCCGGAUUUAUUGGGCGUAAAGCGAGCGCAGGCGGUCAAUUAAGUCUGAUGUGAAAGCCCCCGGCUCAACCGGGGAGGGUCAUUGAAACUGGUUGACUUGAGUGCAGAAGAGGAGAGUGGAAUUCCAUGUGUAGCGGUGAAAUGCGUAGAUAUAUGGAGGAACACCAGUGGCGAAGGCGACUCUCUGGUCUGUAACUGACGCUGAGGCUCGAAAGCGUGGGUAGCAAACAGG
rnacentral:rRNA from 1 species